AUUGGUUUAGAACUCACCUGGAUGGGUUUGGGGGCACCUGGGUGGGUUCGGGGGCACCCGGGUGGCUCUGGGGGCACCUGGGAGGGUUUGGGAUCAUCUGGGUUGGGAUGGACUCACCUGGGUGGGUUUGGGGGCACCUGGGUGGGUUUGGGAUCAUCUGGGUUGGGAUGGACUCACCUGGGUGGGUUUGGGGGCACCUGGGUGGGUUUGGGAUCAUCUGGGUUGGGAUGGACUCACCUGGGUGGGUUUGGGAUCAGCUGGGUUGGGAUGGGCUCACCUGGAUGGGUUUGGGAUCAUCUGGGUGGGUUUGGAACUCACCUGGGUGGGUUUGGGGGCACCUGGGUGGGUUUGGGAUCACCUGGGUGGGUUUGGGGGCACCUGGGUGGGUUUGGGAUCAUCUGGGUUGGGAUGGACUCACCUGGGUGGGUUUGGGAUCAGCUGGGUUGGGAUGGACUCACCUGGGUGGGUUUGGGGGCACCUGGGUGGGUUUGGGAUCAUCUGGGUGGGUUUGGGGGCACCUCAAUGGGUUUAGAACUCACCUGGAUGGGUUUGGGGGCACCUGGGUGGGUUUGGGACUCACCUGGAUGGGUUUGGGAUCAUCUGGGUGGGUUUGGGGGCACCUCAAUGGGUUUAGAACUCACCUGGAUGGGUUUGGGGUCACCUGGAUGGGUUUUGGACUCACCUGGAUGGGUUUGGGAUCAUCUGGGUGGGUUUGGGAUCAUCUGUGUUGGGAUGGGCUCACCUGGAUGGGUUUUGGACUCACCUGGUUGGGUUUGGGGGCACCUGGUUGGGUUUGGGAUCAUCUGGGUUGGGAUGGACUCUCCUGGGUGGGUUUGGGAUCAUCUGGGUUGGGAUGGGGUCACCUGGAUGGGUUUGGGAUCAUCUGGGUGGGUUUAGAACUCACCCGGAUGGGUUUGGGAUCAUCUGGGUGGGUUUGGGGCACCUGGGUGGGUUUCAAACUCACCUGGGUGGGUUUGGGACUCACCCGGAUGGGUUUGGGGACACCCGGGUGGGUUUGGGACUCUCCUGGAUGGGUUUGGGGGCACCUCAAUGGGUUUAGAACUCACCUGGGUGGGUUUGGGAUCAUCUGG
rnacentral:lncRNA from 1 species